rnacentral:lncRNA from 1 species
UAAGUGAUUAAACAUUACUGAAACAAUUUCUUCUUGUGCUUCUCUCUCUCUGUUUUUGUUUGGUUUGGUUUUGUUUUUAUGGCUACUGUUCCUCCAUUAGCCCAUAAAAUUUUGAAUGAUUCCAUGAUUCUCUCCUUGGCAACCUUUUUUUCACUCUGCAUCCUUUACCUAGGUGAUGACAUCCAUUCCAAAGGCUUCAGCUCACACCUCUCCCACCACAACUCUCUCCUGCCUAUUCUUGACACAUCUCCAACUCAACUUGACCAAAACUGAAUGUCUCCCUUCUGACGGACAUGCUGGUUGCCUCUUCUCCUUUUCUUCCUUAGUAACAGAACUCCCAUUUUAUCAAGAAUGACAAUGCACCUAGAUAAAAGACUCUUAUUCCCCAAUCGCCCUUACAUCUAGAUGUGUCCACGUGACUGGUUUCUGAUAUGUAAGAAGUGUUGUGUAGGACCUUCUGGAAGUGUCUUAGAAGGAAUUGACUCAGCUGGAAGCUACACUAUUUUGCUCUUCCCUCUUGUUCCUCUUCUAUCUGUCUGGAAUGCAGUCAGGAUUUCUGGAGCUCCAGUAGCUAUUUUGGACCAUAACUGAUGAUGAAAGUCAUAUGAUAAAGAUGGCAAAGCAGACAGAUAGACACCUGGAUCCCUGAUGACUUCUUGGAGCUACCAUAGCAGCCCUGGGUUUUCAGUUAUAUUUAGUCAAGCCUAAUUCUAAUUGCUUCAGCCUAUAACCAUCCUUCCCAAGCUGGCUCUUCCUGUGUGUUCCCUACCAUUUGCCCACCUGUCCAAACUCUACUUGCCCUCCAUACUCCCCCACGUUCUAAUUCUGUCUCCUUAGUAUAUCUCAAAUGUGUCCCCGCUUCUCUGUCCCCAUCACCAGAGCCUUAUUUCAGGCCCUCUUCUUUUGCCUUGCAAUGACAUAAAUUCUUCAGUUGUCUCCUAACUAGUCAUUCUGCCAGUCUUGCCUCCUGUACUCAUUCUCCACACUGUUGCUGGAGUGAUCUUUUUCCAGUACAAAUCUGAUCAUGUCACUUCAUUGCUAAAAGUCCUUCAGUGGUUCCCCAUAGCCAUAUUAAUAAUGAUGGCUGUCAUACAUCAAGAGCAUAGUAAAUGGGAAGCACUGUGCAAAGCACUUCAGAAGCAUUUACAUUCUCACAAUUGCCCCUUGGGGUAGGUACUAUCUUCUCCAUUUUAUGGAUGAGGAAACAGACACUUAAUGCAGAUAAAUAACCUGCCAGAGGUCACUAGGCUAAUAAGUGGAGGAGCAGAGAUCGGAACAAUCUCUGGCUAACCCCAAAGCCUCUCAUUUUAGGGCAGUGUUCCUGUGGGAUACAGUCCAAGCUCAUUAGCACGGCAAGCCAUCCCCUUUGUUAUCUGGCCUUUCCUUGGACUUCAGCCUCCUCUCUCACUACCCUAGAAGUAGAUUUUGAGGAUAUUAUCGAUGAAUUUGCUUCCAUUAAAGCUAGGAAAGUAAAAUUAUAAUAAACUCUGUUUCGGGUACAAACAAAAUGUUUAAACUUAAUGUGAACUUUAACAUACCUACUAUUUAGAGUUUCAAUACAGUUUGACCUACUUUAAUGGUCAGGAAAAAAUUAGCCGUUAAGAUUUAAAAAUGUGUAUUUAGGGAUUCACAUUUUUUCCUUUUGUCUCAGGAGCCAAUAUUUCUUGGCAAGAACACUGUCAGAUCCUCUCUUUAUUCAAAAUCCUGAUAUUUUGUUUAUCAUAGAUUUCAUGUGAAUUUUUGCAUUUUAAGAUGUUUCAUUAUAUGUUGUUUAUCUUGACGAUUGGGCCUUUUGGCACCUCCUUAAAUAUGUGUCCAAAGUGAGUAUCUCACUCACCUCACCCUAGUGCUUGCCCUGUUCAUUAGCCAAAUGGAGCCGUUUGCAGACACACAAUGAUCUGUCUUACUUCCCCUACUCUUGUCAUUCGUGCUUAGCACAUGGUGGGUACUCCAUAAAUAUUUGUGGAUACAUGAAUAAUGCUUUUCCUUUUGACCUUAACACCCUUUGGUUUCUCAUCCCUCCACCCAUUGCCUGAAUAACUCCUACUUGGGCUUUUUCAAGACUGAACUGGAAUGUCACCUCCACCAGGAAGCUUUCCCUAACUGUCCUUGCCCCCUUCCCUCCUGUGCUCCUCAAAGUCUGGGUUAGGAGCUUCUCCAAUUGCUCAGUGCACUUUGAACUCACCUUGGAAAAGAUAUUUCUUACCAUGUUCUAAGAUUCCUUGUUACUCGCUCUGAAUCGUGACUCUACCUGUGAACUCCUUGAGAGCAAAGACCGUGGCUUUCUCACUUCUGUAUCCUCAGCCCCUAACACACCCAUAGGGAGCAUGCUCAUAGGAUGGAUGGAUGGAUGAAUGAAGGAGAUCAUUUUAAGAUAUAAUUGGCAGCAGACUGCAAGGGGAGUCUGUAUUGAAGCAGGGUGAGACUUGUGAGGAAGCUUUGCCAGAAUCCAGGUGAGAGUUGAUCAGAGACUAGACUAAGGCAGUGGCAGUAGGUUGGAUUUAAGAGACAUUUUAGAGGAAGAAUCAGUGGAAUUUGGUUGAAAAUUAAGUGGAUGGAGAAAAAGAACUCAAAGCCAACUAAACUUUUGCAAUUGAGUGAGCAGGAAGAUGGGAGUUCCAUUAACAAAGACGGGAGGUGCAGGAGGAGCAAGCUGUAUGCCUGUCACCUCCACGGGCACUGACCCAGAGAAGGGGGAGGACACCUACAGUCAGAUUCUUAUUAGAUAGAUGAGGCCUUAAUUGGUAUUGUUCAUUGACAUCCUAAAUUGUUCUCUAGACCGUUCCACUUUUCUCCAUCCCCUGAUGCUACACCAGUCUGGGCCAUUGUUAUCUUUUCCCUAAAUUCCUGCCACUGCCUCCUGAUUGGUCUGCCUCCAACUUUCCUCUCCUUACUUUAUCCACCAUUCUGCAGCCAAACCAAGUUAAGCUACUCUCUGAUUAAAAUCUUUCGUCAGCUCCCCAUAGCCUUGUGGAUGACGUGCCGAUUCCUGAGCAUGAUCUCUCAGGCCUGUCACCAUCUAGCCCUUGCCUACCUCUUCCACUCCACCUCUUAGCAUUCUCCCUGUUCAUGGCUGUGCUUAGCCUUCCUGAACUUGUGAUUCCUCUUUGUGCCCUGCUCUUUCUCUUAUCUCUAGGCCUUUUCACGUACUACUUCUUCCACCUGAAACUCUCUCCCUCUUCCCUUUGCAGGCAAUCACUACCCUUCAAGUCUAAAUAUUCCUUUCUAGGAGACUUCCCCCGAACCUAGCCUAGAUUUGGCCCCCUGAUGUAUGCUCAUAUAACAUCCUGUUCUUUUCCCAUCCUGCCAGUUCCCUCUCCAAUAUCCAAAGGUGAUAACUAGAGCAGCAGUGGCCAUCUUAUAAAGAGGAUAGAUGCGACACACAAAAGAUGGUUAAGCAGAAAGACAGAAGAAGCUUGAGUCACUGAUGACAUUGAAGCUGCAAUGACACAACUUUGCAAUCCCCACCUCUGGACUUCUUUUGCAUUACAGAAAAAUGACCUUUAAGUUGUCAAGCUACUAUUUCUCAGGUCUCUGUUACUAGCAGCCACAUGCACUCCUGAUGUAGUGUUUGUCUCGCUCUUUUGUCAUCACUUGUACAAUAGCUGUCUUGUAACGCACAGUCUUUCCCAGUCCUCAGCACAGGUCUUAGCACAGAGUAAGUGCUCAACUGAUAUUUACUAAGUGAAUGAAUAUAUUUACAUGACAUACUUUCCACUUUUGAUGAGAAGGAGCAGCCCUAUUCUUCUCCUGAAGCUGUGAGACCACUUGUUUGAAUGAAGAUGCUAGGGAAGAGGAGCGCUGACCCCAGAAUGCCCCAUUAGACUGGGACAAGAGGCACUGAUGCUGGCUGUGCUCCCCUGGCAAAGCAGGGGAAGGUACCUGUGGGGGAGAGUAACAGGUGGCAGCAGCAAGAGGCUUGGAGAUGGUAAGUCCUUGAGAUCUGCUAGUGGAUCCAGAAGUACUGUUUGGAGAGCAGUGUAGCUGUUGGGGCCACAUGGCACACUCACUUCUCUUCUUUAUUUACAUUCACUCCUUAGGUGACCUAAUCAGCCUCCUGGCUUUAGAUACUAUCCAUAUGCUUAUGCUUCUAAAUGUGUCGAUGCAGUCUGGACCUCUUUCUUGAACUCCUCUAGAAAACUCAUAUACCCAACAGCCUCAUGGACAUCUCCACAUGGGUGUGAAAUGACUUACUGUGAGCAAAACUGAACUGCUAUGAGCCCUAUACUAGUUCCUCCAGCAGUCCUCCCCAUCUUAGUUAAUGGUGCCUCUGUUCUUCUGGUUGCUCAGGCCAAAAGCUUUGUGGGGUGUCCUUGACUCCUUUCUUUCUCUCAUAUCUACGUGGACUCUGUCAACAGCUCCUGUUGGCUCUACAUUCAAAAUACAUUUGGAAUUUGACUAUGUCUUACCAGAUGUACCAUCCUGGUUCAAGCAUCAUCUUUGGCCUGAAUUAGUGGAGUGGUCUCCUAAGUGGCCUUUCUACUUCUGUCCUGUCACCCCAGUUCAAACACAGAAGCCAAAGUCACUAUGUCAAAGCGCAAAUUUCAUUGUGUCACUCUUCUGCUCAAAACCACCAAUGGUUCCUAUGGUGGGCAGAAUAAUGGCGCCCCCAAAGAUGUCCACCUCCCAAUCCCCAGAACCUGUGAGUAUGUUAUGUUACACAGCAAAGGAAAAUUAAUUUUGCGGAUGGAAUUAAGGUGGCUAAUCAGCUGACUUUAAGAUAGGGAGAUUAUUCUGGAUUAUCCAGUUGUGCCCAAUGUAAUCAUAGAGUUCUUAAAAGUGGAAGAGAGAUGCAGAAGGGAAGAUCAGAGUCAUAUGAUGUAAGAAGGACUCAACCCAUCAUUACUGGCUUUGAAGAUGGACAGGGGCUAGAAGCAAGGUAUGUAGGCAACCUCUAGUAGCUGGAAAAGGCAAAGAAAUGGCUUCACCCCUAGAGCCUCCAAAAAGAAAUGCAGCCCUGCCAACACCCUGAUUGCAGUGCAAUAAGGUUAGGCUUUUGACCUCCGGAACUGUAAGAUAAUACGUUUGUGUUGUUUUAAGCCACUAAGUUAGUGGUAAUUUGUUAUAGCAGCCAUAAGUAACUGAUACAGUUCCCUCUCUCACUCAGGGUAAAGGCAAAAACCAGGAGUGAAAUCCAAGAUUCCAAAUGACCUGGCCCCUGUUACCUUUGAGGCCUCAUCUCCCACUUUGCACCUUAUUCAUUAUUCAGCCCCACAGCUUUGUAGAAUGAAUGUGUGAUUUUGAAACACUUCAUUUUCCAGAAGAAAGAGAGGAGAGGUGACUUGCCCGUGGUCCCCCAACAGGGACUUGAACCCAGGACUCCUGCUCAACUACCGGUAGGUUACUAUCUCUAGUGCACUUAGCUUCCACUCCAGCUUCCUCCCCCAGGAAGUCUUGUGGUUAAGUCUGCCCUGGCCACCUACCAAAGUGUUUAAAUUCCCUUCCAGUGAGAGAAUCUUUAUGGUGACCAUAUUAUUCCCUGCCAGAAGAGUUCUUGCUGUGUGAAAUUCAAAUGACAAAAACAUUUUCCUUUUAAAAGGCAGAGAAGAAAUGUCCAGGGCAUCAUAUUACACUGAUCAAGACAGGCAAAUUCCCUAGGAGGAAAAGACAGGCCUGGCUUUCCUUCAGCCCAGGAGGUUGACUGUGUGAAUUCCUGUUCAUACCCCAGGAUGUAGAGUGAGCUACAUGGAAACCUGGACACAUUGCUAAGUGUUGUUGGCAGUAUCAAUGAGUGCAAAUGGCCCUCCUUUUGGGCUGACCUGGCAUUUCUCUUUCCAAAUAAGAAGGUUUGAUUGGUUAGCUUGUGGCCACUGAGUAGAGGGCCCCACUGGAUGUUUGUGCUGAGUCACCUUGGAGCUGAUCAACUUCCCUUGUGUACAUCUGAUAUGUGUUGUAGGCUGUUCUGGGUCUGAUCUCUGGUCCAAUCAGCUCUGGCCACGAGAGCAGAAGUGGCUUCCCCUACAAAGCUUGUGGGUACCAGCCUGGCAGACACUGUAGGCCUAUUAUGUUGUUUGGAUUUUUUUUGGUCUGGCAUUCUUUUCUUUUGGGAACUUCUUCUUCUAGGUUGUUCUCCUGGGGUUCUCAAUUCCAGCCCUUCCCCCAGCCUCAAGGAUAGGCACAUGACCCAUGUCUGGCCAAUUUAUAGUACCCAAUUCCUUGGACAAUAAUGAUUGUUCUAGAGAGGAUGCUCGUGGGAUCUAAGCAGGGACAAUCAGAAUCCAACGGGAAGAACAAUAUACAGACUGAAGGAAGUAGACUCUCUCUUUCUAUUAGGAUGUCUAAACUAGGAGAACGUGAAUCUGGAGCUGCCCAGUGGAGAGCUCUUGUUUGUGCAGGAAGCUAAACAGAGUCAAGCAAAAGUGAGAAGCGCAAGGAGAGAUGGUUCUUGAGAUGGAGUCUGGCUAAUAUGGGGGCUUAGGUGGAAAGAAACUGAUGGGCCCACCUGUCACAGACAAGAGAGGACUUAGAACCCAUUCCUGCAGAGAUUAAUGCUACAAUUCCCUCAAAGGGGGUCUUUAGAGAGCCUGGCCUGGGACAUCCACAAAAUGCUGGCUCUCUCCAGUUCUUCACUCAUGUGGCCAAAACAGACGCUGUUGACCUGACCCGUCUUCACAUCACAUUUCGAGUCCCUAACAGACCAAUAAAUGGCUCUGUGGCCUGAUUCCAAAUUCCAUGGAGAGAGAAUCCCUCAGUCUUGGUCCAAUCAACUCCUGUCCACGGAUCACAGGAGCAGAGGAAGCAGCCGGGUGAUCUCCGGGCUGCCCAAGCGCUUGCAGCUCUGACCACACCAGCGUCUCUUCCCAUGCAGGGAGUCACACUGCAUGAGAAGGAGGGGCUUCCUCUGGUCCAGGCUUAUAAACCUGUGGUCCUGCGCCCCACCCUCCAGGCCUCACUGGGAAGGCACAGUGCCUUCUGGGCCAAGAUGGGCCCCACCUGUCUAAUAUUAGUCUGGUACCAGCAGCUCUAACUUGAGGCAAUGGGCCACGGCCAACCUCCAAACUGCUAUCUGCCAUCUCUCUGGUUGGCCUGAUAUCCUCUGUACUUUGCCCUUCUCC